rnacentral:lncRNA from 1 species
UGAAAGCCAAACUGUCAAUCCCUUAAUCAGUUAUGAACAAUGUGAGCAAUGUCUGUCUAAUCGGUAAAUGACCAACUAGUCUGGGAGGCUCCUAUAAUGGUGCUCAAAUAACCGCCAGGUUGGUAAUUAUUCAUGUCUGGGAAGGGAAGAAGAAAUCCCCUUUGGGAAGCAUUGGUCCUGCUGGUUCAGAGGGCAUCAAAACCUGGUGCAACACAUUUCCUCGAGAGUUAGCAAAAAGUGCAAGAAAAUGGGGAAAUGGGAAAACUUUGGGGGCAUGGUGGGGUCAGCUGUUUUUAGGGACAUGAGUCCUCUGACCUCUUGGCAUCAGGUGUGGGAUAAUAGGAGCGGUGUAAGCUCGAGGCCCCGGUACAGCCUGCAUGGAACCAUUUUUCAUGAGGGCACCAUGCUGUCAGCCCGUCCAAACACCUGAAAAUUCAAGCACAGGCAGCGAGCAACCCCCUGCAGCAAAGCAACUGCCAACACGCGCGGGUUUCAGCUUAACCAGGGCAUCACUUAAUAGGUGUGAAAAGCGGCUGUGUGCAAAAUGCAAACAUCUAUCGAGGAAUGCCGAGCUUCGUUUAGUGGCGGGGCAAUGGCAAAUUGGGCAGAAAAAAACAUGUAAAUAACAUUUACUCGGAGGUGUUCUCGAUUGCAAGGCUGUGCACUGAGCAGUGAGACAAGCGCAGGUGGAAAGCACUGCAGAGGAUGCUCCUGCUUGCAGCACCAUUGUGGGAGAGGUGUUUGGGGGUAAACUAGAGGCAAUCCCACUGCUUUUCCCGGCCCUGAGCAUCCCUAAAGACCUUGCACAGGUUGAAGGACUCAGGGGGUGAGGUUUUUGGGGGAAACACCCCACUUUUUUCCUCACUGUUAGGGCGGGCUCCACCACCGUGUACAUACACCCAGUGUGAGCAUGCAGGAAGAAUUCCUAACUUCAUUAUUCACCCUCGAAUACAUAUCAAAGCCUCUGUCUGCUUUAAUGCCUUUUCUCAUCUCCAGCCAGCCAUCAUCAGUGCAGGAUAUCUUCCUUGGACACGUGGAGGUGAUGCCCUGGGAGCACAGGCCAUGCUGUCCCUGGAGACCUGCAGCCCCUUCCUCACGACCUGCUGUUUCUCCUCGACCUUCAGGUGAUCCCAUGGUUAUAAGCAGCGGGUUUGAUACACGGCAUGGUGCAGGAUGUGUCCACCUCUCCCCCAAGCCUGUGCACACUCAUAGCAUCCUGGCUCUAGCUUGGCAUCCAGGUCCUUUCUUGCUCUUACAUCCCACGCUCUGCAUUUCAUCCAGCCUCAGCACAAAAACUCCUGGAAACACCUCGUCCUGCACCUCAUCCGCAAGUGACCCCAGGAUUGCCUCCACCACACACCUCAUAGACCUCAAUUUGCAGAACAACGGAGGAAAGGGGGAAAAAAGAGCAUGUUGCGGUGCGGUCUUUACAAAAGCCAUUCAUCCCAGUGCUUUUACUAACAGGCAUCAAAUGAGAUUCCUGCAGUAG